CGGCGAAAUUGCAUUACGAGUAAAGAUGCUCGUUACGCGCGGCAGGACGGGAGACCCCGGGACCUUCACUACAGCUUGGUAUUGGUGUUCGGUUCGGUUUGUGUAGGAUAGGUGGGAGACUGUGAAGCGUGACGCCAGUUAUCGUGGAGUCGUUGUUGAAAUACCACUCUGAUCGAAUUGGACCUCUAACCUCGGACCAUGAUCUGGUUCAGGGGACAGUGCCUGGUGGGUAGUUUAACUGGGGCGGUUGCCUCCCAAAAAUGUAACGGAGGCGCCCAAAGGUUCCCUCAGCCUGGUUGGC
rnacentral:rRNA from 1 species